rnacentral:rRNA from 1 species
UACGAAGGGGGCUAGCGUUGCUCGGAAUUACUGGGCGUAAAGGGUGCGUAGGCGGGUCUUUAAGUCAGGGGUGAAAUCCUGGAGCUCAACUCCAGAACUGCCUUUGAUACUGAGGAUCUUGAGUACGGGAGAGGUGAGUGGAACUGCGAGUGUAGAGGUGAAAUUCGUAGAUAUUCGCAAGAACACCAGUGGCGAAGGCGGACUCACUGGCCCGUAACUGACGCUGAGGCACGAAAGCGUGGGGAGCAAACAGG